UACGUAGGGUGCGAGCGUUAAUCGGAAUUACUGGGCGUAAAGCGUGCGCAGGCGGUUCGUUGUGUCGGUGGUGAAAUCCCCGGGCUUAACCUGGGAAUGGCCAUGGAAACUGGCGAACUGGAGUGCGGCAGAGGGGGGUGGAAUUCCGCGUGUAGCAGUGAAAUGCGUAGAGAUGCGGAGGAACACCGAUGGCGAAGGCAGCCCCCUGGGCUAGCACAUGACGCCUCAGGCACGAAAGCGUGGGGAGCAAACAGGA
rnacentral:rRNA from 1 species